rnacentral:rRNA from 1 species
GACGAACGCUGGCGGCGUGCUUAACACAUGCAAGUCGAACGAGAAUCUGUGGAAAGAGGAUUCGUCCAAUUGAAGCAGAGGACAGUGGCGGACGGGUGAGUAACGCGUGAGGAACCUGCCUUUCAGAGGGGGACAACAGUUGGAAACGACUGCUAAUACCGCAUAACAUAUAGAUGUCGCAUGGCAUUUAUAUCAAAGAUUUAUCGCUGAAAGAUGGCCUCGCGUCUGAUUAGCUAGUUGGUGAGGUAACGGCCCACCAAGGCGACGAUCAGUAGCCGGACUGAGAGGUUGAACGGCCACAUUGGGACUGAGAUACGGCCCAGACUCCUACGGGAGGCAGCAGUGGGGGAAUAUUGGGGCAAUGGGCGCAAGCCUGACCCAGCAACGCCGCGUGAAGGAGAAGGCUUUCGGGUGUAAACUUCUUCUGUCAGGGACGAGUAGAAGACGGUACCUGACG